CAGUCGUCGGGAUUGCAUGUUCGCUAAUUACGGCAUAAUUGAUACCAUUAAUAUAAUAGAUAGAACAAAAAGGAGAAUCAAAUGAGAAUAAAAAAUAAACGGUGAAAUCAUGUAAUCCACGAAUAUUCAAGUAUUGUAUUAUGAUUAACAGACGUAAUUCGACUCAAUCCAAUUUUAUCGUCAAUUCCAUCUAGCCUUGAAUCGGAUAGAAAAAAGACGUCCUUGCUCAGCGGAGACGCGUCUGCAUUUGCUGCAAUCCCGAUUGAGGUAUAUCUAUUAUAAGUAGGUGUGCACUCAAAGUCUUUACUUGUAAUAGAAAUUGUAGCAAUAGGAUCAGCUCAUUACGGUCUGCUGAUAAUUAUAAAAAAAAGUUCGUCUUUGAACACGUCGGCCUUUCAAACACCUACAAGAAUAAUAAUGUAUCUACUGAACAUAGUUCCAAUUAUUCAUCAGCUUCGUCGUCAUAUAACCCGUACGUAGUCGUGGGCGCGGACGUGUUCAAAAAGAGGGAUCAAUAAAUUUUUUAUUGAUGAAUACGGUCGUAUUUUGUCAAAAUUAAUUAACGAUCUUCGUGUUCGAAAAAUUCAAUUUCAAAAACUUGGGGAUUGAGAAGCAAUAAUCAAGCUUCACCUUCUUCAUACCUAUAUGUGUAUAUAAUUUAUUACAAGUAGGAUGCAAUCUACACAUACCUACAUAAUAUUUUAUAUAUUGUGACGAGAAAACGCACUUCGUUCAUACCUAUAAUGAGGAUAAUGAAGAAACGUAAACUGUCCUAUUUACAAGUUAAGUUGAUGUGCAGUAUUUGAAAGUGCUGUGUAGGUAUAUGACGGCUGUCUAUAAUAAUACAAGUAGCUGAAUAUUAGUGAUUUAUUUAUAUAAAUAUAUCUGUGAAUGAUUUACAAAGCGUCCGUGUCAUGAGCUCUUCGUUCGCAUCUCAGAGGUCUUCCAGCUUUCGACGAGCCACAAGAAUUGGGCGUUGUUAAAAUCUUCGUUUAUUUGGGAAAGGAUCCAACGGAAAGUCGUUUGUUAAUUUUAGAUCGUCUGCAGGGAACGUUGAAAUUCUUUCAUCUUUUGUUCAAGCAUGCCUCAAGAAAUCUUAUAGGUUUUAGCACCAAACCUUUCCGAGAAUUUUGUGGAUUACCUAAAUCAAUGACUAAAAUCGCUGCUGAAUACGUAACUAACGUAUACACUUUGAAGGUACCAGGAUGUACGAACGAGCAAUUAAAAUAUCUUACAGAUGUGCAGAAGCAUAAGAAAAACCGGUGAUGCGAUCAACGAUUUAUUUUUUAUCGUAUAACCAAUAACUCUACGUUAUAAAUGUAGAAUUACUUUUUUACAAUGCGUUAUUACGUUUAACAAUUUUUGUUCAAAAAUUUAACCACGAUUGAAAUAAUAACGCGAGAGUACGCAAAGGUCGAAUAGACAAUUCCGCCUCCUGCAUGGUCGAUUCCCACGAAUUGAAUUUCGGAAGAAAAAAAAAGAAACCUUUAAAAAUGGUAAAACAAAAACGGGAGUCGGAGAUGGGCGUGCGGGCUGAGUACACGCCGAUAUGCUGGUGGCUAUGACCGAGCGUUUUACAUUUGGGAAAAGUAUCGAAAGGACCAAAAACAUCCCGACGCGUGGGCAGUUCGAGGUACGAGGCACCCGAUAUGCACAGCCCACGACUUCGUCUCUCAUAAUAUCUAAACGAAGAAAAUAUCAAGGAUUUUUUAUUAUGUGACAUAUUAUAUACAUUUACAACGAACCGACUCGGUGAAAGUCGUUUCUAAUUUGUCAGCAUCUUAUAAUAAUUUAGGCGAACAGAUAUACGUACAAAAAAUUUCAAAAUGUUGCACCAAAAAUGCAAUCCACAUACC